rnacentral:tRNA from 1 species
GCAAACAUAGUUUCUAACCAAAACAUUAGACUGUGAUUCUAAAGACAGAAGUUAAAACCUUCUUGCUUGCC